GACGAACGCUGGCGGCGUGCUUAACACAUGCAAGUCGAACGGUGAAGCGCCUUCCUUUUUGGUGGGUGUGGAUGAGUGGCGAACGGGUGAGUAACACGUGAGUAACCUGCCCCCUUCUUCUGGAUAACCGCAUGAAAGUGUGGCUAAUACGGGAUAUUCUGGGUCUGUCGCAUGAUGGGUCUGGGAAAGAUAUUGUUUCGGUGGGGGAUGGGCUCGCGGCCUAUCAGCUUGUUGGUGGGGUGAUGGCCUACCAAGGCGGUGACGGGUAGCCGGCCUGAGAGGGUGGACGGUCACACUGGGACUGAGACACGGCCCAGACUCCGACGGGAGGCAGCAGGGGGGAAUAUUGCACAAUGGGGGCAAGGCUGAUGCAGCGACGGCGCGUGAGGGAUGGAGGCCUUCGGGUUGUGAACCUCUUUCGCCAGUGAAGCAGGGCUGCCUCGUUUGUGGGUGGGUUGACGGUAGCUGGAUAAGAAGCGCCGGCUAACUACGUG
rnacentral:rRNA from 1 species